rnacentral:rRNA from 1 species
UAGGGAAUCUUCGGCAAUGGACGGAAGUCUGACCGAGCAACGCCGCGUGAGUGAAGAAAGUUUUCGGAUCGUAAAGCUCUGUUGUAAGAGAAGAACGAGUGUGAGAGUGGAAAGUUCACACUGUGACGGUAUCUUACCAGAAAGGGACGGCUAACUACGUGCCAGCAGCCGCGGUAAUACGUAGGUCCCGAGCGUUGUCCGGAUUUAUUGGGCGUAAAGCGAGCGCAGGCGGUUAGAUAAGUCUGAAGUUAAAGGCUGUGGCUUAACCAUAGUACGCUUUGGAAACUGUUUAACUUGAGUGCAAGAGGGGAGAGUGGAAUUCCAUGUGUAGCGGUGAAAUGCGUAGAUAUAUGGAGGAACACCGGUGGCGAAAGCGGCUCUCUGGCUUGUAACUGACGCUGAGGCUCGAAAGCGUGGGGAGCAAACAGGAUUAGAUACCCUGGUAGUCCACGCCGUAAACGAUGAGUGCUAGGUGUUAGACCCUUUCCGGGGUUUAGUGCCGUAGCUAACGCAUUAAGCACUCCGCCUGGGGAGUACGACCGCAAGGUUG